UCAGGCGGUGCAGGCGGGCAAUGUGUUGUAUGUUUCUGGUUCUUUAGGCCUAGAUGAGAAGACGUUGAAACCGGUUGAGGGUGGAGCAGCGGCUGAGGCUAGGCAGUCACUAAAAAAUAUCCAUUCGAUACUUAAACAUGCUGGCACUUCAUUCGAUAAAAUUGCUAAGACCACAAUACUGCUGAGUGACAUUAACAAUGCCAAGUUUGUCAACGAAGUCUAUCAAGAAUUUGUAAAAGAACCGUAUCCGGCCAGAUCUACAUAUCAAGUGGCUAAAUUACCAUUGAAUGCGCUUGUGGAAAUCGAAGUCAUUGCUAUUGUGGAAGAAUGAUUCAUUACCAUAAGUUCAAAAACUAUGAUUGCUAUCCUAAUAGGCGGUUAUAAGAUAAUAAAUAUCUACUUAUUCUAUGUGUAAUAUUUCAUCUAGACUUUAGAAGCGUUAUAUAUUAAACAUUUCGACUGUAGGUCUAAAAGUAAUAUUGUAGUAACAUGUAAUUUGUAUAGACGUAUAGUGGAUAGGUACCUACCAUUACCAAUAAUUGUAUGCAAACAUUAAUAUAAUACAUACUAUGCAAUAUCUUAAUUUAUUUUUUAUUAGGUAAUCCCAAAGACAUACUAGACAAAAAAAAGGAGUGUAUAUUAUUAAUGAAUAAUAUAUUUAUUUUUAAUAAUAAGCUAAUAUGAUAUUGCGAUCUAUAAACUGAAAAGUCCAGGUGGAAAUAAAGAGUAUGACGACCAAUUUUUAAAAGAUUUUUGAUCAUGUUUACAUCAAACUUUACAGGUCUAAAGUAAGUUUCUAUAAGUACUUCAAUUAUUUAUUAACAGUUGACUUUUGGUAUUUUGAUGUCUAAGUGAAAAGAAAAAUGUUGAGAUAUUAAAAACCAAUGAAGUAUUAUUGUGGUUGAAAGAAUUUUUUAUAUUUGAUAAUGCUUUUUUUUAGAACACUAAAUUCCAGACAAAAAUGCAUAUAAAACAAUUGGUACAAGGGUACAUGUAUAGUUAAAGUUAAAACUUCAUUAUAAAAUCAAUGUAUUCUUAGUGUUAUUUUAUUAUAAUUAAAAUAUAGAUAAUAUAAUGUACAAAAUAGAAGAAACUUAUUUAUUUU